UGGGGAAUAUUGGACAAUGGGCGAAAGCCUGAUCCAGCCAUGCCGCGUGUGUGAAGAAGGUCUUCGGAUUGUAAAGCACUUUAAGUUGGGAGGAAGGGCAGUAAGCGAAUACCUUGCUGUUUUGACGUUACCGACAGAAUAAGCACCGGCUAACUCUGUGCCAGCAGCCGCGGUAAUACAGAGGGUGCAAGCGUUAAUCGGAAUUACUGGGCGUAAAGCGCGCGUAGGUGGUUCGUUAAGUUGAAUGUGAAAGCCCCGGGCUCAACCUGGGAACUGCAUCCAAAACUGACGAGCUAGGGUAGGGCAGAGGGUGGUGGAAUUUCCUGUGUAGCGGAGAAAUGCGUAGAGAUAGGAAGGAACACCAGUGUCGAAGGCGACCACCUGGGCUCAUACUGACACUGAGGUGCGAAAGCGUGGGGAGCAAACAGG
rnacentral:rRNA from 1 species